rnacentral:snoRNA from 1 species
CGCGCGUGCGUGUGUGUUGAGGGACAAAAAGGUGCAGUGCUAUGUCUUCGGUGCCAGGAUGUUUCUUGUCUUCAGGUUCUAUCCCCAAUCGCUGGUACACUA